UACGAGGGGGGCAAGCGUUGUUCGGAAUUAUUGGGCGUAAAGGGCGCGUAGGCGGUGCGGUAAGUCACCUGUGAAACCUCUAGGCUCAACCUAGAGCCUGCAGGCGAAACUGCCGUGCUUGAGGGUGGGAGAGGUGCGUGGAAUUCCCAGUGUAGUGGUGAAAUACGUAGAGAUUGGGAAGAACACCAGUGGCGAAGGCGGCUUCCUGGUCCAGCACCGACGUCAGGCACGAAAGCGUGGGGAGCAAACAGGG
rnacentral:rRNA from 1 species